rnacentral:rRNA from 1 species
GGAUAUUUGAGGAGUGCUGUCCUUAGUACGAGAGGACCGGGAUGGACGCACCGCUGGUGCACCAGUUGUCAUGCCAAUGGCACGGCUGGGCAGCUACGUGCGGAUCGGAUAAACGCUGAAAGCAUCUAAGCGUGAAGCCGGCUCCAAGAUAAGAUAUCCCAUAACGUAAGUUAGUAAGACCCCUUGAAGACUACAAGGUUGAUAGGCUGCGUGUGUAAGUACCGUGAGGUAUUCAGCUUGGCAGUACUAAUAGGUCGAGGGCUUGACCAUGA